rfam:Streptomyces sp. MBRL 10 scaffold00622, whole genome shotgun sequence.
AGAUGAGUGAAAAAGCUCGUUCCCGGGCCACCGGGAGCGAUACCGGUACCGGGCUUCCCCAGCGCCGUACUGGUCGUGCGUUCGCGCACACUCCUCACCGAUCGGA